GCACAGAACAAACCAUGUAAUUAGGUUGAUCCUUUUCUUUCUUUCUUUCUUUCUUUCUUUCUUUCUUUCUUUCUUUCUUUCUUUCUUUCUUUCUUUCUUUCUUUCUUCCUUCUUUUUUUUGUCUAAUGGAUUGGCACUCUACAGAGAGUGUGAAUAGGGAAUAAAGGAGAAUCCAGGAAACAAGACAAAGUUUUCCUGGCCUGAUUGCCAAAUUAUUGCAACCCUCCUGUCUCAGACUUCCAAGUAAUGGGAUUACAGAUAGCUGUCCCCAGAGGCAGGAUGGAAAGCAUCCGAAGACAGAAGAACGCAGCCCCGAUCCGCGAAACAAUGAGCUCACACAACAUGGCCCGUCACCUGAUAUGAUCCCUGACCUAAAUCCUAUAAGAACAUGCUGGCAACUGUGGAGAGCAUCUUCAGUACCAGCUUGCUCUGCAAGAUCCAGGUCCCUUGUCUGCUGGUUAUGUGUUAUUAGAUGCCAUUUUCUGUGUGUGCAGAUGGCCUGUGCUUGUAUUUUUCACUUAAAGAUGUGCUCAAUGGUUCCCUAUCCCACAAUCCUGUUGUGGAGCCCUCCCUGUCAGGGUACUGUGUUACUCUUGGUAUUCAAUAUCCAGGAUGUCUGGAUUUUAUCUGACCAUUCUCUGUGCAUCCUAGCACUUGCCAAUAGUCCUUUAAUUCAACAUGCAACUAUGCAGCUGCUGUUUCAAUGGAAAAGGGUUCAACUAGAGUGCAGUAGGAAACUGGGCUCCUAUUACAUGCCAUCUUGAGACUCUUCUGAGUCAUAGCUUCUGUGUAAGAUUUGAGGAAAAGGGGUUAUUUUAUUUUAUUUUAUUUUAUUUUAUUUUAUUUUUGGCACUUGAUUACCUCCUUGGUAGUGACUGACUUGUUGCUGCUGUCUUAAAUGACCUUGGUUACUUGUUAUUUACUUUGUAAACAGCACAAUGGAAAACAGUACUUAUCUUGCCUUCUCAGCAAUCAUUAGAUCUUUGUAGAAAUUUAACUCAGACGAGGUCCAAAUGUGCUUAUAGAAAUAGUUAACUCUGUUUAUUAUCCACCUGUAGUGGGGCAGUAAUGUUCAAUGACUCUUCUUUUGUUUGUGCUGAAAAGUUCCACACAGAAAUAUCUCUAGUCUUGAAGGCAAUGCUACAUUGAGUCUGUGUUAUCUUUUGUGCUGUGAUUUGAAGGGUGAUGUUCUGGGGGGAAAAAAAAACUCAUAUGAAAUAAAGUAUUCCUUUGUAUGAUCACUGUGGGUGUUAAAAUUUUCAUUAAAGAUCAUUUUCCUUAGCAUAAAUGUAUGACU